rnacentral:lncRNA from 1 species
UUGAAUAGGUCCCACCCUGGUGCAUUCUGUGCAGUUGGUCGUACAGCUGAGAGAUCUGUAGAUAAGAUUGGAACAUUGUAUGUAAUUGACAAUGGAUGAACUCCAACAAUUGCUAUACCUCUGGCUCAAGACACCACCUUCAUCAGGUUCCCCUGGGACAUACUCAGGUUGAACCUACCCUGCCCACAGGAUGCCCUUCAAGUUGGAACGGUACUAUCCCAGCUCCCGCCUGAUGGUUUCCCGAGCUUUCCUGGUCGGGUGAGCAGCAGCAUUUAGGUAAACAGGUACUGGUUCAUUUGCCUUGUUAUUGUGAAUAGUGCUCAUCAAUUUGUUAAAUGUCAGGUCCAUUUUAAGUAGUAGCAAAUUUUGUACUGUCCUUGAAACUGGUUUUCAAUUUCAGCUGCAGCUUUUUGUUCUUUUUUCCGAGCAAGCAGAUUCAUCAAGUUUAAGCCUACGCCGGUGGAUGAAUGACAAUGUUGUUCAUGGCAUCAAGGUGGGGAUGAGCACCAUCAUGAGCAGCAUAUGAAAUCAUCGUGAUUCUGAAUAUGUUCACAAUGAUAGCUCCAGGAUUGAAUUUUGCAGCAUGUUCUAUGGAUUCAAGAGCUAUUGUUUUGUCGCGUAAUUCAGAUGUGCAGAGCUUUCAACAUAGCAACAUUAUAUUGAUUGUAUUACAGUUUUCUUGUCGUUGCACAUUUGCAAGACACAGAUUCUGACAUUACUUCAAGGUACUGUUGAGCUUUAUAUAUGUUCGACUUUUUGAGAUGGCAUGUUUUAUAUGCCAUGCCUAUCUAUAUCUACU